GAGUUUUUGAUCUUGGCUCAGAUUGAACGCUGGCGGCAUGCCUUACACAUGCAAGUCGAACGGCAGCACGGGAGCUUGCUCCUGGUGGCGAGUGGCGAACGGGUGAGUAAUGCAUCGGAACGUAUCCUGGAGUGGGGGAUAACGUAGCGAAAGUUACGCUAAUACCGCAUAUUCUGUGAGCAGGAAAGCGGGGGACCUUCGGGCCUCGCGCUCUUGGAGCGGCCGAUGUCGGAUUAGCUAGUUGGUGAGGUAAAGGCUCACCAAGGCGACGAUCCGUAGCAGGUCUGAGAGGAUGAUCUGCCACACUGGAACUGAGACACGGUCCAGACUCCUACGGGAGGCAGCAGUGGGGAAUUUUGGACAAUGGGGGCAACCCUGAUCCAGCCAUGCCGCGUGAGUGAAGAAGGCC
rnacentral:rRNA from 1 species